ACUUAAUUAGUAUAAAUAAAAGUACAUUUAAUUUCCAAUUAAAAAGUUUAAAUAAAUUAAGUA
rnacentral:tRNA from 1 species